CCCCUCCCCCUCUCCCUCCCCGUCCCAAGAUUACCGACGACAAAGGCGGAUCGCGUCUGGAGAACGGGAGCUCGCUGGAGGAGGCAUAGACCGGAUCAGCAGCAUGUGAAAGAUGGGGAGCUUGGGAAUCUUUCGGAUUGAAGUUAAAUCCAUCUAAUGCCCGGAUUUCUAAAUCCGGGAUUUAAGAUUUUGUAGGAUUUAGACGUAGUCAUUUUCUCUGUUUGGCAGGUUUUAUGCUAAAUCCUGCUUUAAAAAGGUUUAAACCUUACUACCUAACACCCCCUUAGAUUCGUCUAUCUUGUUUGACUCAUAGAUUUUUGGGUUUUCUGCUGUGUUGUUGGUUCUUAGUGUCGGAGUGGGAGUAGAGGAAUCCUCAGAUAGAAGAUGGUUAGACUGUUUUUAUCCCCACCACCUUCAUGUAUCUCCGGAGACAGAGACGGCGUGAAGGAGAGGCUUACACUUUUGGAAAAACUUGAAUCAAUUUUAUGGUCUGCUAUGGUAUCUGGUGGUCGAAAUGAAGCUCGCCUUUGGCUUUGCAAUACAAUUUCAUCCAUUCACUCCAUAACUCCAAGGGAGCAAUGUGAAUUGUUUAUUGAGCUGUUGAGGCUCAAGAAGUCCAAGCAUGAUGUUGCGGCUCAACUGUUGCAGAUGAUCUUUGAAAAUAGGCCAAGCAAGGUUGGGUCCAUUAUUGCAAAAAAAUGCUGCAUGCUUGAGAAAUUUUUUGAAGGGCAUCCAAGACGUAUUAUGGACUGGUUUGAUCACUUUGCCACUGUGGGAGAAUCAGGGCACAAAAAGGGAGCCAGGGCACUCUCCAAGUUUGCUUUUAUGAACCGUGACACAUGCUGGGAGGAGCUCGAGUGGAAAGGAAGACAUGGGCAAUCUCCAGCAGUGGUUGCUACCAAACCCCAUUAUUUCCAUGACCUGGAUGUCCUUCAGACUGUGGAGAACUUCCUUCAGUAUGUACGAGAUUUUUGGUCUUCAGAGGAACUUGCCGAAUCUGUGAAAGAUGGUGAAAUCUUAAAGAUUGAUAGAAAAUAUUUUAUAGAUAAAUUUCUUUACUUAAUGUAUGAGGAGAACCUUGAAGAAGCAUGGAUGAUUAUCGAGGAAUUUAUAAUGGAUGAGCAGUUCUCAUUUCUCUGCCAACAUCUCCUCGUUAUUGUAGAUGAUUCUAGGAUGCUAACUUUCUUGAAGUCUGUCAGUAAAUUUAUUCAUAUAAAUGCACAAUGCAAGGAAUUAAAAUACUCAUCAUGUUGGCUAGAGAACCUCCUGUCAACUUGCAGUGGGUCUGUAUCUGUUGAUGAAUUUAUCUUAUUAAAUGCUGUAAUUUCUCAUGGAAGACAGCUUUUACAUCUACUGAUUGAUGAAGAGCAUGAGAACGAGAAGGAAAAGCUAGAGAUGCUAUUGAUGAAUGGCUUGAAUUUUUCUGAUACUGAUCACUGGGAUUUGCUGAAAGAAUGCAUGAAGAUGGAAAAGCAGAUAGCAAUAAAAUGGAUUGGACUUCAGUCUUGGGUUAUUCACUAUCAUUUGGCACAGGAAUGCAAAACACAAAAAUCAUGUGAAUCAUUGUUUUCUGGGAAUGGAAUAAGUUUUCGCAGAGCUGAUAAGUUCUGCUUGUUGCAGUCUAAUGAAACUUUUAAAGAACAUAGUUUGGAGAUUGAUGAGGAAGAAAUGGCUAGACGGCAUCACAAUAGGAGAAAUAAGGACAAGAAGAGGAGGAAAAAGAAACAUAAUAAUGCUAAUGAAAAUACUGACGAGCUUUUGGAAUUUGAACAAUUGAAUAGUUUGCAUGAUUGGAAAUUAGGAGGGAGGACUUGGCUUCUCACUACCAACAAUUACUCAUGUGCUUGGCAUAUUGCAGAUUUGCCAGAGCAUCUUUCAAAGCACUGUUUUUCCACGUGGAUGAAGUGGGUCUUAUCCAAGUGGUAGUGCUUAAUUUCAAGUGUGGAUCUACAUUUCUGACUAUCAAGUAUGGACAGCUCUGUGAUCAUGCCUUUUUUUCGUGGGUUUGUGAGAUCCAUGAUGAGACGUUCGACCUUGUGGGUUCUCCUGGAUGGUUUGUUAGUCGCUGCUAGUUGGUGUCACAUGUGAAGCUCCAAUAAAAACAACCAAGUUUUUCUCUUCUUUUCGAUGUCGGAGUUUUUUAGAUACUUCUAGAUUAUAUUUUUUUGGUGAUAUGCUAAUGUGAUACACAUGAGCUGGGUAUUAA